UCUAGUGAGGCGUUGUCACAGCUGAGAAGGAAGGUUUUAUUGUUUAUUGUUUUUGUUUUACUGCGUAGCAACCCCGAGCGCAGCUUGCACUGACACCCUGAGUCUUGUUCCGUCAUGGUGCAGUAAAGGGCUGGAAAGCUCCAGGUGAGCACAGUCAAUACAAACAAAUGAAAAGGCCAAAGGCAUUGGAACCAGAGGAAGAGCUUGACCUACACCUCCACUAAGAAAUUCUCUAUAAUCAUAUCCACAGAGUUCAUUAUAAUUAGAUUAUAAACUCAAAGCCGGAGUAUGACUUCUUCAAUUGACUAUAUACCAAACUCACCAAACAGAUGCCCUCGAGGGACUCUGUCUUGGAUGGAUAAGCAAAUUAACUCUCACGAUCCUGCCAUUGAGAUGAGGACCCUGUGCUCCCAGUGAAGAGAUGUCCAACUUUCUGAUGGCCAUUCCAGAGGAUCUUUGAUGCAUGCGAUCUAACAUAUGCAUUUGGUUUUUACUAUGAGCCACUACUGGGUUGUUUCCUAUGAAGAAGUGUUCAUUCAUCUUCAAAAGCUUUAUGUAGCUUCAAUAGCACAAUUGAGGACAAUGAUUACCUUUCCAGCAUGCAUGGAAAGAGGCCAGAAAUGAGUGGAGAUCACGGUUUCAAGCGAGCAUCAUGCCUUGGCAAACAGCUUGCUGCCCAGAAUCAUGAGAGAGGAUCAUACUGCAUACCACUGGCUUAGGAAAAGAUCCAAAUUAAAGAUGAGGUAUGAUUUCUAUUGAAUACGUAUUGUUUUCACAUUGUUGUAAAGUCAAAAAAUCAUA